rnacentral:rRNA from 1 species
UACGUAGGGUGCAAGCGUUGUCCGGAAUUAUUGGGCGUAAAGAGCUCGUAGGCGGUUUGUUGCGUCGGCUGUGAAAUCCCGAGGCUCAACCUCGGGUCUGCAGUCGAUACGAGCAAACUAGAGUGUUUGCAGGGGAGACUGGGAAUUCCUGGUGUAGCGGUGGAAUGCGCAGAUAUCAGGAGGAACACCGAUGGCGAAGGCAGAUCUCUGGGCCGUAACUGACGCUGGAGGAGCGAAAGCAUGGGGAGCGAACAGG